AAACAGAAGAUAUUUUCAUUACUUUGCCGACCAUACAUAAAAUAUCUUUCCCCAAAAACUUCAUUACCGGAAAAAAGGUCAAAAAGUACGAAAAAACCCACCGCCUUUAUCCUCCAUUUCUUCACAUAUACCUUCUUAUCUGAGGCUAAAAUUGACUUAUCACUACUCGGUUCUUUGUGUUGGUUGGUCAACCGGUAGUAUUCAGCUCCGAUCACCAGUUCCGGUAACUGGUAACCAUUGGUGAGAAAGCUUUGGGAUGUAAAUCGAGCUUAGUUUGAGCUGAAUCUGAGGUAGCAGACGAAAUGGAUCGAGGUCCGGGACCGUGUAUGGAUAUGCCGAUCAUGCACGAUAGUGACCGGUACGAUUUUGUUAGAGAUAUCGGGUCGGGUAACUUUGGCGUUGCGAGGUUGAUGACAGAUAAGCAGACUAAAGAGCUAGUUGCUGUCAAGUACAUCGAAAGAGGCGAUAAGAUAGAUGAAAACGUUCAGCGGGAGAUAAUCAAUCACAGGUCGCUGAGGCAUCCUAACAUAAUUAGGUUCAAAGAGGUGAUUCUGACGCCAACUCAUCUCG
rnacentral:misc_RNA from 1 species